rnacentral:ncRNA from 1 species
AAUAAACUCAGGAGAGUCUGUUCCCUUACUGUUGUAGCAAAAGGGAAGAGCGCCGAAGGUGUAAGCGGUACUGUGCAGCUUUGUAUCAGGUACCGUGAGUCUCUCAGGCAAAAGGAUGGAGGUAUAA